CCUGCAGCGUCAGCAUCAGCCAUGUGGGUCCUAUAGCAGACAGCAGCCCGGCCGGCAGCAGUAGCCAGAGUCAGGAGAAGGCCCUGCUGCCCACAGAGCAGGAGUCCAGAUUUGUGGAUUGGCCCACCUUCCUGAGAGAGAAUGUCAUCUACAUCUUGGCUGCUCGUCCUAACAGUGGAGCGAUUCACCUGAAGCCCCCAGGAUAGGUGGGACAGAGAAGCUCAGUUCUGGGACGGUGGCAUCCUCUCUCUCCUUUCCUUUCUUUUUCCUUUACCAACCUCUGGCACUGAGACUCAUGGGAAUGGGACACUGCCAACAUCUUAAUUUGUUAUUAAGCUUUAUGGCACGGAAGCCACCGUUCCCCUCACAACAGAGGCAGUAUGUGUGUUGCCACACUGAGAAGCCCUGAGAGCCGUGGCAUUACCUGCUACUGGACCACCUCCUGCCCUCACGUCAUAAAACUACCUGCCACCUCAUGCAUACAUAUGUGCACAUGCACAUACAGCCACAUACAUGCCUAGAUAGCCAUGCCUUCAAACUCCUGGUUCUUUCUUUGAUGAAAA
rnacentral:lncRNA from 1 species